CCCUCGCUGCCAGUUGCCAACGGGUGAAGCCGGGCACUCUGGCGGGACUGCCAUCGACAAGAUGGAGGAAGGUGGGGAUGACGUCAAGUCAUCAUGGCCCUUAUGUCCAGGCGACACACGUGCUACAAUGGCCGGCACAGCGGGAAGCGAGGCAGUGAUGCCAAGCGGAUCCCUUAAAGCCGGUCUCAGUUCGGAUUGAAGUCUGCAACUCGACUUCAUGAAGCUGGAAUCGCUAGUAAUCGCAGAUCAGCCAAGCUGCGGUGAAUACGUUCCCGGGCCUU
rnacentral:rRNA from 1 species